UGGGGGUGAGAUUUAGGGAACUUUUGGAGAAUUUGGGGGGAUUUAUGGGAAUUUUUUGUGAUUUAUAGGAUUUUUGGAGGAUUUGAGGGAAUUUUUUUGGUGUGUAUGGGAAUUUUUAUUGGGAAUUCCAGGAAGAAAUUUGGAAUUUGGGGGGGAUUUUGGGGAGGAAUUCCUGGAAGAAAUUUGAGGAUUUGGAGGAUUUUUUGGGGUGAAUUGAAGGAAGAAAUUUGGGAAUUUUGGGGACUUUUUUUGAGGGGGAAUCAAAGGAAGAAAUUUGGGGAAUGUUUGGGGGCAAUUCCAGGAAAAAAAAAAAUUGAGGAUUUUGGGGAUUUUGUGGGGAAGAAUUGAAGGAAGAAAUCUGAGAAUUUUGGGUGUGGGUUUUUGUGGGUUUUUUAAUUCCAGGAAGAAAUUUGGGAUUUUGGGGGACAUUUUGGGAGUAUUGGAGGGGGGCAUUUCAGGAUUGUUUGUUUUCCUGGUUUAGGACAAAUUAGGGGAAAAUCUCCAAAGGAGCCCCUUAAAGGAAACAAACCUCCACAACUCCUCCCUCCCACCACCACCGGGUUCAGGAGGAAUUUCCUCGGAGGAAAAGUGGAAAAAACUUGUUUAUUAAGAAACAACAAAAACCACUCCCCAACACACAAAAAACAGCCUGAGAUGACAACAAACGUUUUCACCAGUUCAAGAGAGGCUGAAUGGCUUGGGCAGUCUGCUGGGGAGGGUGCUGAGCUUCUCUCAGAUGCAAACUCCGGGGGGGUUCCUUGACGUUCCCGAAUCAAGGUCCGAAGCAGGUCCAGUGUCUUUAGGGAAGGGGAGGAAGGAAAGAAGGGGAAAAACAAAAACAGAAAAAUGGCAAAAAGCAAGCAAAAAAGCAGAAAGCAAGAGAGCAAAGCCAGCAAAGCGAGCCUAAAGCUAGCAGCAAGCAAGCCAGAGCAAGCAGCCGGGGGAGGGGUGCAGCUAUAGACAAAACAAACCGAGAGCACGGGAACAGAAACACAUGAUUGGGAUACUAAGCAUGAAAAUGUCCUGUCGCCCCAGGACAUUUGUUUAUUUGUUUCAUUUGUUUAUUUGUUUUCCUGGAAUUUUUGGGAAGUUUUUUCCAGCUCUAAUUCCUGAUUUUUCCCCAAGCCUGAAAGAAAGGAGCACGAGGUUGAGGCCGGUGGAGCCGCUGGAUAUUCAUGAACUGCUCCAUGAGGGCUCCUGUCCUGCCCUGAAGGAGCUGGCGCCAUCUUGGGACCAUGUGUGAAGAACAGGCAGGCACCACCCCAGAAGAUCACAUUCAGAAAUAGACAAGAGGUUUACAGGAAAACCGGCAGUCUCCUCAAUCACCGGGAGGAGACCCAUCAAGAUAAGGCAGCAGGGCCAUCAACACCACCAGCCAACACCCUAACCGAGCAUCAAGCAUCAUCAUCCAUAUCUCGACCAUUCAUCAGCCAUGAGGAUCUAUAGAAACUGGACAUUAACAUAUGAACUGAGAGAAAGAACUCUUUUCAGCCUAGCCGGAGACACCCUUGGAUUUGAAUAGCUAGCUGGGACACAAAGGGAAAUAUGGGGAAAUAUUGCCAAGGGCAGAAUAAAGUGUAUAAAAACCAAGCCCCGAACCGGGCAAAUUUGUGAACCUAGGGGGAGACAGCAGACGGCCAGGUUCUGUGUCUCGAGGUUCACCCUUGGCAUUUUCCCGGGAAAAAGACUGUCAAGUAUCUCCGCUGUUGGUGGGUUUACCGAAAUUCUGUAAUUUGAUCUUUUGUUAAUAAACCAAAUUAUUAUUUUAAUUGGAAUAUUGUAUUGGCAUUUAUAACAAACCAUAACAAUCCUUGGGAAGUGGAAAACCAUCAGCAGGUGGUGUUUUUCCAACGUGUUUACUGGCAAGGAUGUUUACAAAGAGGUGUAGGCUCUAAUGAGCAACCAUAUGAAUUGUACCAAAGUACUGUAUAAAAAGAGAAUUUAGAAAAUAAAUAUUGCUCUC